GAUGAACGCUGGCGGCGUGCCUAAUACAUGCCAGUCGAGCGAACAGACGAGGAGCUUGCUCCUCUGACGUUAGCGGCGGACGGGUGAGUAACACGUGGAUAACCUACUUCUAAGACUGGGAUAACUUCGGGAAACCGGAUCUAAUACUGGAUAAUAUAUUGAACCGCAUGGUUCAAUAGUGAAAGACGGUUUUGCUGUCACUUAUAGAUGGAUCCGCGCCGCAUUAGCUAGUUGGUAAGGUAACGGCUUACCAAGGCAACGAUGCGUAGCCGACCUGAGAGGGUGAUCGGCCACACUGGAACUGAGACACGGUCCAGACUCCUACGGGAGGCAGCAGUAGGGAAUCUUCCGCAAUGGGCGAAAGCUUGACGGAGCAACGCCGCGUGAGUGAUGAAGGUCUUCGGAUCGUAAAGCUCUGUUAUUAGGGAAGAACAAAUGUGUAAGUAACUAUGCACGUCUUGACGGUACCUAAUCAGAAAGCCACGGCUAACUACGUG
rnacentral:rRNA from 1 species